rnacentral:rRNA from 1 species
AUUGAACGCUGGCGGCAGGCCUAACACAUGCAAGUCGAACGAGUGGCGGAAGGGUGAGUAAUGUCUGGGAAACUGCAUGAUGGAGGGGGAUAACUACUGGAAACGGUAGCUAAUACCGCAUACCAUCAGAUGUGCCCAGAUGGGAUUAGCUUGUUGGUGGGGUAAAGGCUCACCAAGGCGACGAUCCCUAGCUGGUCUGAGAGGAUGACCAGCCACACUGGCACUGAGACACGUUCCAGACUCCUGCGGUAGGCAGCAGUGGGGAAGAUUUCACAAGGGGCGCAAGCCUGAUGCAGCCCUGCCGCGUGUAUGAAGAAGGCCUUCGGUUUUUAAAGUACUUUCAGCGGGGAGGCGUUACCCGCAGAAGAAGCACCGGCUAACUCCGUGCCAGCAGCCGCGGUAAUUC